rnacentral:rRNA from 1 species
AGAGUUUGAUCCUGGCUCAGGAUGAACGCUGGCGGCGUGCUUAACACAUGCAAGUCGAACGAACGACUAUUAACAGAACCUUUCGGGGCGAAGAUGAUAGAAGUUAGUGGCGGACGGGUGCGUAACGCGUGGGUAAUCUGCCUUUGUCAAAGGAAUAACUAUUCGAAAGAAUAGCUAAAACCGUAUAAAAUAUUAAUAGGGCAUCCUAAUAAUAUCAAAACUGUGGUGGACAAAGAUGAGCCCGCGUCUGAUUAGCUAGUUGGUGAGAUAAAAGCCCACCAAGGCAACGAUCAGUAGCCGACCUGAGAGGGUGAACGGCCACAUUGGAACUGAGACACGGUCCAAACUCCUACGGGAGGCAGCAGUGGGGAGUAUUGCACAAUGGGGGGAACCCUGAUGCAGCAACGCCGCGUGAGUGAAGAAGGCAUUCGUGUCGUAAAACUCUGUAGUAGGGGAAGAAAGAAAUGACAGUACCCUAAAAGAAAGCCCCGGCUAACUACGUGCCAGCAGCCGCGGU